rnacentral:misc_RNA from 1 species
CCCUAGCCCCGAUUGCAGCGGUUACCCCGCAACAAGCUUUGGGAAAGCCUGGGCGUGAGGAGUAUGAGCGGAAAGCGGGAAACAGC